rnacentral:rRNA from 1 species
ACGGAAUAGGGUUUACUCCAUUCAGUGGGGAAAAGGUUAGUAAAACAUGGGUAACCUACCUUUUACAUGGGGAUAACGGUUGGAAACAAUCGCUAAUACCGAAUGUGGUGUGGAAGAGGUAGCUUUUUUACAUUAAAGUGGGGGAUUCUUCAGAACCUUGCGGUUAGAGAGGGGCUCAUGGGAUAUCAGCUAGUUGGUGUGGUAAAAGCCCACCCAGGCU